GGAAGAGGAGGGAAAAUAAAUGUGUGUGUUUUUUGUUGGACUCUCUGGAAAGGAAAUCCUGGCCCUCUUCUUCUCGGGAAGUCAAUUUCGCGGUAACAAUGGCUAUCUCAAUGGUGUUUCUUCCGGUGGCGAUCCCCUGAGACUGUUUCGUUAGGGCAUUUUUCUUUUUUCAGUAGAGUAACUGCUUUCGUCUUCUGAAGUUUCUUUGGAGUAAACUACAAUGGCCGAUAGCGCUAAAUCAGUUCUUGAAGAGGAAACUUCGAAGCUUGAAACCAAGUCCAAGCGCGGCGUAGAUGUCGAGGAUGCUGAUGUCACUGUGAAGAAGUUUAAAACGGAAGCUACUGCCGAUGUAGCCGACAAAACUGGAGACUGUGCCGGCAGGAAGUUGGAAACUGUUAAUGGUGAUGAAGAAAAUAAGGUCAUCAGGAUGGGAGUCAAGUUUGAGAUUGAAGCGGAUGCAGCAGAAGAUAAAGGGUCCAGGCAUACAAUGGAGGAUGCUUGGGUUUUGCUUUUGGAUGCGAGCUUGGAUUUUCCUGGGAAAUUGAGAUGUGCACAUUUUGCUAUCUAUGAUGGACAUGGAGGUCGGUUAGCUGCCGAGUACGCUCAAAAGCAUUUGCAUGUGAAUGUUCUCUCAGCCGGGUUACCACGUGAGUUGUUGGAUGUAAAAGCAACUAAAAAGGCAAUACUUGAUGGGUUCCGGAAAACUGAUGAGUCUCUUCUUCAAGAAAGUUCUGCUGGGGGAUGGCAGGAUGGUGCUACUGCUGUUUGCGUUUGGGUAUUAGGUCAAACGGUUUUUGUUGCUAAUGUUGGUGAUGCUAAAGCAGUUGUAGCACGAUCUUCGACUACUGAAAAAUUGUCUAAUAAUCUUAAUGGAGGAAGCUCUUUAAAGGCUAUUGUUUUGACAAGGGAACACAAGGCAAUCUACCCACAAGAAAGAGCUCGUAUUCAAAAGUUAAAAAGGAAAAUGAAUUAUACCAGGCUGGUGGCGUUGUUGGUUCAAAUGGUCGAUUGCAGGGCCGUCUUGAAGUUUCUCGGGCACUUGGAGAUCGCCAAUUUAAAAAGUUGGGCGUUAUUGCAACUCCAGACAUUCAUUCUUUUGAAUUGACUGAUAGGGAGCAUUUUAUCAUUCUCGGAUGUGAUGGACUUUGGGGGGUUUUUGGACCAAGCGAUGCUGUCGAUUUUGUCCAGAAAUUAUUGCAGGAGGGCUUGCCCAUAACAUCAGUAAGUCGACGUCUUGUGAGGGAAGCUAUUCGUGAACGGCGCUGUAAAGAUAACUGUACUGCAAUGGUCAUUGUUUUCAGGCCCAAGUGAUUAAGCAAGAAUAGUCGCGAACGAUGUGAGAUUUCCAUGUUACUGGUGCUGUACAAGCGAACUCCCAAGACGUUUAAGUUUUUUUGUACGAGUGGACCGCUUUACUUGGGAUUGUGGAAUUCGCCAGAGUUAGAGAUGUCGAGUUUGAAAACUGAUGUGGAAACAGUGGGGUACCCAGUGUUAAGUUUUGUUUGCAGUUACUUCAGUUUCAAGAUUUUGUAAGAUACUGAUGUCACUACCUUCCAACGAUUUUGUGGAAGUAAAGAUUUUCUUAGUUGUUUGCAUGUUUGUGGAAUACGUGUAAACACAACUGUAGUGCCGAUUUCAUGCUUAGAUAUGUAUUCUUGUUUAUGACCAAACAAUCAGGAGUGAUGAUUUCAUGAUUGGAACUCGAUGAUAUUCAUAACUAGAAUCACUUAAAAGUAGGGACUUGUUGAUUGCCCUUUUGGAUU